CGGGGGGAGCAAGCGUUGUUCGGAUUUACUGGGCGUAAAGGGCGCGUAGGCGGUCGUGACAAGUCACUUGUGAAAUCUCCGGGCUUAACUCGGAACGGUCAAGUGAUACUGUCGGACUAGAGUACAGAAGGGGCAACUGGAAUUCUCGGUGUAGCGGUGAAAUGCGUAGAUAUCGAGAGGAACACCUGCGGCGAAGGCGGGUUGCUGGGCUGAUACUGACGCUGAGGCGCGAAAGCCAGGGGAGCGAACGGGAUUAGAUACCCCGGUAGUCCUGGCCUUAAACGAUGAAUGCUUGGUGUCUCGGGUUAUAAAGUCCCGGGGUGCCGUCGCUAACGCUUUUAGCAUUCCGCCUGGGAAGUACGGUCGCAAGACUG
rnacentral:rRNA from 1 species